AUUGAACGCUGGCGGCAGGCCUAACACAUGCAAGUCGAACGAGUGGCGGACGGGUGAGUAAUGUCUGGGAAACUGCCUGAUGGAGGGGGAUAACUGCUGGAAACGGUAGCUAAUACCGCAUACCAUGAGAUGUGCCAAGAUGGGAUUAGCUUGGGGGUGGGGUAACGGCUCACCAAGGCGACGAUCCCUAGAUGGGCUGGGAGGAUGACCAGCCACACUGGACCGGAGACACGGUCCAGACUCAGACGGGAGGCAGCAGUGGGGAAUAUGCCACAAUGGGCGCAAGCCUGAUGCAGCCAUGCCGCGUGUAUGAAGAGGGCCUUCGGGUUUUAAAGUACUUUCAGCGGGGAGGCGGUACCCGAAGAAGAAGCACCGGCUAACUCCGUGCCAGCAGCCGCGGUAAUUC
rnacentral:rRNA from 1 species